rnacentral:rRNA from 1 species
GACAGAGGUGCCAAGCGUUAGGCGGAAUCACUGGGCUUAAAGCGUGUGUAGGCGGAUCGUUAAGUGCUUUGUGAAAUCCCACGGCUCAACCGUGGAAUUGCUCGGCAUACUGGCGGUCUUGAGCCAUCUAGGGGUCGCUGGAACAAACGGUGGAGCGGUGAAAUGCGUAGAUAUCGUUUGGAACGCCAAUGGUGAAAACAGGCGACUGGGGAUGUGCUGACGCUGAGACACGAAAGCCAGGGGAGCAAACGGG